CUUUAGAACUGCUAGGUUGGCAGGAGCUGAGACAGAGCAAUGGGAGCUCACCCCGUCACGGGGAUUCGAACCGCUGACCUUCUGAUCGGCAAGUCCUAGGCUCUGUAGUUUAACCCACAGCGCCACCUGCGUCCCUUACAACAUAUCUUAAGCAGUGUCUAUAUCAAUGCAGUUUUUUUAUUUCUUUAAAAAAGGUUCAGGUUGUGUACUUUUUGACAUUGUGUUUAUUGUUUAUGACUACUUUUGUUAUGUUUGUACUUACGUAUUUUUUUUGUACGUUGUAAGCCGCCUUGAGCACGGUCUUAAAUUUGGCAAGGCGGCAUACAAAUGAAAUUAUUUACUUGUUUAUUGUAUUUGAUAUGCUGUGCCACAUAACUUAGUAGUGACUGCAAAUAACAUCAAUUUAAUAGCAGCUUCUACCCUACCAAUAUGUGCAGCCAGGGGGUCCUGUGGCUGGCAGAAUUAGCCAAUGCCACCUGUCUCUGAUUACUAGGAUGAGUAGCACUGUGGUUGGAUUUAAUGCUUAUUUGUUCUCCUUUGUCCUCUAUUGUUGUUGUUUGGGUGGGGCUGCACCUGUUCAUUCGGGCGAUGUGGCUUUGGUCGGGGCAAGCCUUCUGAGCUGGCAUAUGAAGCCUCUGGGAAUGGGUGAGAAUCCAGUGCCCUCUUUGUAUGGUGCCAGCAUUCAUUUUGGAUGCUGUGCAGGUCUGUGCAGCUUGUGUCCUAAUUUACCGUCCCUCUGCCGGUUAUUUCUCACACUGGGUUUUCCUUUCCUCUUGGAACGAUGCCAUGGCUGCUUGGCGUCAUUAGAUCAGAUGCUUGGCAUGUUUCAGUCCACUUCAGAGUGAAUAGCUGUCAUUUGAAAAAUCUGGUCUGCUCUUCAUCAACAGACACAUCCUAGGCUGAUGGGCCACUUGCACAAUUUUCUCUUCCUUUCCUUUCUCUUCCUUUCUCCUACUUUCACUGUUUUAAUAGUGAAAUACUAAGCACACAAAAAUAUAUAUCAAAUGGGAUUUCCAAAUUGAUUGAUAUGCACUUUAGACAAGAAAGCUUGAUUCAGGCUGGAACUGUUCCAAGGACUGGCAUGGAUUCAGAUUUUUAAGUAGGGAUUAGGGCAGGCCAAUCAGAUGUAGAUCUGGUUUCAAACUGACUAGCUCAGUCAUAUGCCCUGAUGUACAUUAGCAGCAUUAGGCUAUCAGCUCUGGGCUAAGAGGACACUGUCCUCUAGCAGUAGCACUUAAAGCUGGUUCUACCGACCGCUCAGGAGUAGAAACACAGUAUCUUUGACAGCAACAAAUAAAUACCGUAUUUUUCGCUCUAUAAGACGCACAAGACGCACCUAGUUUUUGGAGGAGGAAAACAAGAAAAAAAAUAUUCUGAAUCUCAGAAGCCAGAACAGCAAGAGGGAUCGCUGCGCAGUGAAAGCAGCAAUCCCUCUUGCUGUUCUGGCUUCUGGGAUAGCUGCACAGCCUCCAUUCGCCCCAUAAGACGCACACACAUUUCCCCUUACUUUUUAGGAAGGAAAAAGUGAGUCUUAUAGAGCAAAAAAUACGGUAUUUUGUUCUUUGAAUUCCAAAUGUUGAAGCUGUGUAAUAUUUUUGGCAGGUAUCGAUCACAGAAGCUUACACACCAAAGGAAAGCUGUCCCGUCUCAGCACUAAUUAUAUGGACUACAACCCCUCUAAUUAAUGUAUUUCACAUUUGUAACACCUGAAAUGGGUUAUCUGAACAUUUCCCCAUUGAUCAUUAUUGAUCUUUGCAAAAGUUGGACAACUAGACUGCUGCAUGCUGUUCAUUUGCAAAUUUUUGUAUACUCUUUAGUGAUGCACUACUAGCAGAUAGUACUACUUUGUACUAUUAUUAUGUAUUAUUAUGUACUAUUGUACUAUUAUUUUGCACUUGUUUCUUCAACCAUUUGUAAUAUGUUCAUUUAUGAUUGUAUGAUUCAGCCUUUUUAAUUACUGUUAUUUGUGCAGGCAUUCUCUCUCAUUGGAAACAUCUAGACUGUUUGGACAAAAAACCCUCCCCUGUGCCCCAACUAAAUCGACUCCAGAGGGUACCCCAACCCCAGGAUGCUGCAGGGGAGAGGAAAACAAUUUUGUUCUGUUGGCAUAGAGUGCCUCUCUUCAGCAGUCAUCAUUGGAUCCCACCCAUGACGUUUGGACAACUGUCUGUUUCUUGGAGAAGGGGCAUGUCCAAAGAUGGCUGGGGAUGCUGCUGAGAAUACAAGCAGGGAUCUGAGAUUACAAAGCAAGACUACCAGUGCUUGCAAAAACUUAAAACCAGCAUUAGCUCACUUCCUCUAUGCCAAAGAGCUCUGUACAACACAGAAACCUAUCUGUCAAGCUGGAACCAAGAAUGGCAAUGAUGACUUGCACCACUGCACUCAAACAGCACAAAAACUCCUAUAGGGCUAAAAUGGUUCUUUGGUGCCAUCUUGUGUGUUAAAAUGGAAUGAAUUGCAGCUCUCAGACUUGGUCUUAUUGUUGAGCCUGGGAGAGCAGCUCAGCUCUUCUGUUGCACCCGAACUGUCAGGCUGAAUCCUGGGAAGAGCUUGCUGGAUUAGUUCAGAUAUGUCCAGCCUGAUUCUUUUUAUUGGGUGUUGUCCCAACUUGAGCCACAUUCACACCACACAUUUGAAACACCUAAUGAUGCUGCUUUAACAGGAGAUUGCUUUUAACACCUAAAGUCCUGGAAACAAAAUGUUAUUAAUUAUGCUGUUUCACGGGCUUCUGAAAUAGCUUUCAUUAUUCCUGUAGACGAAAAGAAGGAUGUGUUCCACUCGUGGUGCUGCCUUCACAGUUGCUAGUUGGCUGGCUGUUUGCUGGCACCAUCCCAAACCCAAUAUGCCACUUUUUGCUGGCAUAAUCCUUCUCUUUCAGCUGCUGGUAUCAAGCCGGUACCAGUUGGCCAGACCAGGCAAUAUAUACAAAAUUGUACAAUGAAAGCUUUCCUGUGAAUAGACUGAAAAGGGCACUUACUUUGAAACCUGGGUAAAUAUUUCCCCUAAUUCAAAACAUGGCACCUGUACAAAGCCCUCCUCUUUGCUGCCACCUCCCAAAUCACAUAGGCCUCUGCUGCCUUUGGUUCUGUACUGUAUGUUUCAUGCAAAUUGAGGAUCUGAAGCCUAUACCUUCUUUGAACCUGUAAACUAAUUGCUCAAAAAAUAAUCAGGGUUGAGAGCCAGCUGCAGGCGAGUUCAGAUGACAAAAUAAAUGCAGAUACAAGGUUGAUAGCAAUUAGAUUGCCACCUGCUACGCAGCAUUAAUCUGCACCCCUGAAGUCCAAUUGUUUGCAGAGGUUGGCAAAGGAACAAGGGGGGGGGGAGAAUGCUUCAAGUGCAGGAGGUAUUAGGGUCUUAUCCAAGGGACGGGAAACAGGAUGGAACUCGUGCCAACUUUGUGCUCAGGUCCCUAUGGUAUCCUUUGAAUCCCUUUUGAAUUAUUAUUAAUAUUUUCUAUAGCACUUUUAAUUGCUGAGUGCUUCAGCCCUGCUGCAGGGAGAGUCAAUAUUAUUACCAUUUUAAAGGUGGGUAACUGAGGCUAUAUACCUUUAAAACACAUCAGAAGCACAUUUCUGCUCUCAAGGAAUUCUGGGCGCUGCAGUUUGUUGAGGUUUGCUGGGAAAUGUAACUCUGAGGGGUGAACUACAGUGCCCAGAAUUCUUUGAGGAAAAGCAUGUGCUUUGAAUGUGCUACAAAGUGUGUACAAAGCCUUAGUGACAUUUACUAGAGGUACUAGAGGGACAAAUGCAGGUGGCUUCUAGCGUGAAAAGAGAUAUAUUAUUCAGGGCAGAAAUUGUACGUUUUGGUGGUCUAAUCUGGGUUCAGAUUGGCACGUCAGCAUCCCAGUGGGCCAAGGAAUAAAACACAACCAGUGAUGCAGACUUGGCAAAUUCUAGUUUCCAAAAUCCACAGCUGGCGCCAACCAAAUUGUCCCACUGAGAGGCAGUGUGGCGUAAUGGUUAAAGUGUUGGACUAGCCUAACCCAACUUCAUAGGGCUGUUGUGAGGAUGAAAUGGCAAGGAAAACCAUGUAUACCACCUUGAGAUUAUUGGAAGACAAAGGCAGUAUAUAAAUGUAAUAAAUAAAUAGUGUGGC
rnacentral:lncRNA from 1 species